UUCACUUAUUAUGUUGUCUUCCAGUAUAUCUUCCGUCCUAUAGCACUUCACUACUAAUCUGUUCCCAUUUGUGAAUGAAUCUUCCGAUGCAUUAUCAAAAAUUGCAGCAGAUACCAGUGAUCUCACAGGAAUUCAAUCACUUUUAGAAGCUAUCCUGGUUGAACUACACAAAGCAAAUGACCUGAGUCAAAAAAGCAGCUACUUACUGGCCAAGCCCCAGAGUGGCAAUGUCGUUGAAUGCUGCUUCAGUGCUGAGGCUGUGCAACAGGUUCUGAAAAAGUCAACAUCUUCAAUAGCAGAGGAAAUUCACCGUAUG